CAGAAAAUAGUUUAACAGAAUUCUGGCUUUGGGGGCCAGGGGUAGGGGUUUAACCCCCCUUUUUCUGA
rnacentral:tRNA from 1 species